rnacentral:sRNA from 1 species
AGACGAGAUUUCACCAUGUUGGCCAGACUGGUCUCGAACUCCUGACCUCAGAGAAAAGAAAUGCUGGGAACGCAGUACGGAGUGCCGUGAAGUCCGAGGAACAGAAGAUCAAAGACGCCAGGAGAGGUCCCCUGGCACCUUUUCCAAACCAAAAAUCUGAAGCAGCAGAACCUCCAAAAACUCCACCCUCAUCUUGUGAUUCCACCAAUGCAGCCAUCGCCAAGCAAGCCCUGAAAAAGCCCAUCAAGGGCAAACAGGCCCCCCGAAAAAAAGCUCAAGGAAAAACGCAACAGAAUCGCAAACUUACGGAUUUCUACCCUGUCCGAAGGAGCUCCAGGAAGAGCAAAGCCGAGUUGCAGUCUGAAGAAAGGAAAAGAAUAGAUGAAUUGAUUGAAAGUGGGAAGGAAGAAGGAAUGAAGAUUGACCUCAUCGAUGGCAAAGGCAGGGGUGUGAU